GACAGAGGGUGCAAACGUUGUUCGGAAUUACUGGGCGUAAAGCGUGCGCAGGCGGCCUUGCAAGUCGGGCGUGAAAUCCCACGGCUCAACCGUGGAAGUGCACUCGAAACUGCUUGGCUAGAGUCUUGGAGAGGAAGGCGGAAUGCUUGGUGUAGAGGUGAAAUUCGUAGAUAUCAAGCGGAACACCGGUGGCGAAGGCGGCCUUACUGGACAAUGACUGA
rnacentral:rRNA from 1 species